rnacentral:rRNA from 1 species
UCAGUCGACGUCCUACGGGGAGGCAGCAGUGGGGAAUAUUGCACAAUGGGGAAACCCUGAUGCAGCCAUGCCGCGUGUGUGAAGAAGGCCUUCGGGUUGUAAAGCACUUUCAGUAGGGAGGAAGGUAGUGUAGUUAACACCUGCAUUAUUUGACGUUACCUACAGAAGAAGCACCGGCUAACUCCGUGCCAGCAGCCGCGGUAAUACGGAGGGUGCGAGCGUUAAUCGGAAUUACUGGGCGUAAAGCGCAUGCAGGCGGCCUGUUAAGUCAGAUGUGAAAGCCCGGGGCUUAACCUCGGAAUUGCAUUUGAAACUGGCAGGCUAGAGUCUUGUAGAGGGGGGUAGGAAUUUCAGGUGUAGCGGUGAAAUGCGUAGAGAUCUGAAGGAAUACCAGUGGCGAAGGCGGCCCCCUGGACAAAGACUGACGCUCAGAUGCGAAAGCGUGGGGAGCAAACAGGAUUAGAUACCCUGGUAG